UUUUAGACUUUCAUACACAGGACCUGGGAGGCCCUACCUAGACCUAGACAUCUAGUAUUAAUUAUAGGACAUAUGUCCAUUGUAUAUCAAUGUUCAACAUAUAUGGUCCUUGUUCAGAUACAUUGAUGAAGGCCCGCUAUCAUAACCUUUGACCCAGAAUUGCAAGCCAGACUCCCAUAUUUAUUAAGAAGGGCCUCUUUCUGAAUCUCUUCAUUUAAACAUGUAUAAAAUCAUUUGUGUAAACUACAUUUUACUCCCAAGUAUUACCAUAUUUAUAAAUACACAAAAACAUGUCUUGCGCUCAAACUCCCACUACUCUUGGGCAUCAGCAACGACCAUAGUACACAUCAGCCUCAAUAGAUACAGGAAAAAACUAAGAAAAAAAGUGUACCAUUUUUAUAAUGUAUGGCUUUAAUCAUAGAUCGGACAGAAUGGUUAUUAACCCACAAACCUUUUUACAAAUCUUAAAGAAUUAAAUAACCUUAUCUGUAUGUGUAUGCCUCCUAAUUAACUGCAUACUUAGACAUAUAAAAGUUUUUUGCAGAUAGAUAUUCACCACCAAUACUAAACGUCAAAAAU